rnacentral:rRNA from 1 species
AGAGUUUGAUCAUGGCUCAGAGCGAACGCUGGCGGCGUACUUAACACAUGCAAGUCGCACGAGGAUCAUCGGGUUAGCAAUAAUUCGGUGGUUCUAGUGGCGUACGGGUGAGUAACACGUGGGUAACCUGCCCUUGAGACCGGGAUACCCUCUCGAAAGGGAGGCUAAUACUGGAUACGUUCCCCGGGUCGCAAGAUUUGGGGAGGAAAGGUGGCGAAAGCUGCCGCUCUUGGAGGGGCUCGCGGCCUAUCAGCUAGUUGGUGAGGUAACGGCUCACCAAGGCGAUGACGGGUAGCUGGUCUGAGAGGACGACCAGCCACACGGGAACUGAGACACGGUCCCGACUCCUACGGGAGGCAGCAGUGGGGAAUUUUCCGCAAUGGGCGAAAGCCUGACGGAGUGACGCCGCGUGGGGGACGAAGGCCUUCGGGUCGUAAACCCCUGUCAGAGGGAAAGAAGGGUGCUGGCGUGAACAGCGCCGGCAUCUGACGGUACCUUCAGAGGAAGCCCCGGCCAACCCUGUGCCAGCAGCCGCGGUAAGACAGAGGGGGCAAGCGUUGCUCGGAAUCACUGGGCGUAAAGGGCGCGUAGGCGGGAUGGCAAGUCGGUCGUGAAAUCCUUCGGCUCAACCGAAGAACGUCGGCCGAUACUGCCGUUCUUGAGGGAUGCAGAGGAGAUUGGAAUUCCCGGUGUAGCGGUGAAAUGUGUAGAGAUCGGGAGGAACACCGGUGGCGAAGGCGGGUCUCUGGGCAUCUCCUGACGCUGAGGCGCGAAAGCGUGGGGAGCAAACGGGAUUAGAUACCCCGGUAGUCC